CUCACCAUUUGGUUUUCCUUAAAAACCAAUAAAAAAUCAAUUCCCGAAAGAAGCAAGAAAAGGUAAUUCCAUGAAAAUAAACCCUAUCAAACACUAUGGGUGCGUUUGAUUGCAAGUAGGAAAAUUGCAUGGAAAGAAAAUAUUUUCCAAGUAAUUCAAUUGCAUAUAAAUUAUUCACAAGGAAGCAUAUACCAAGUUUAACAAAUAUAUGAACCGUCCGAAAAGACAAAGCUCUUAAAUGCCAUGAUAAAUCAAGCACCGUGUACCUGUCAUUUGUAACUACUAAUUAAAAAUUCAUUUAUAGCACUUUGGCCAAAAUUGUAAUAGACAUUUAAGUAUUAGAAAUGUAACAGGGUAGCAAAUGUGUACCUAUCUCAACUUCAUAAACACUUGAGGAUCUCUUUAAAAUUGCAAAAUAUUCAAGUGAGUUAACUAAAAGGUGUGCGACAACCCUUGCUACAUUAUGCACUUGUUAGAUCAGGAGAGGGAAUGACGCCCGAAACACAGGAAAGCAACUACUUUUGAUGAGUCAAUACAUGAAAAAGGACCAUGGCCAAGAAAACUAAACACUACAUCAUUUCAACUCAACAUAAAAUGACAAAUCAUCAAGAUCGAGUGAUGUUUAUCAUAUGCUAGGAGCUUAAAUACCAUCCUUAUAUGAAAAAAAGCACAAUACGACUCCAUCAAGUUAGCAUUUAUUAAUUUCAAAUCCCACAGGGCCAUAUAAACGGACGAUUACCAGCAUACCAUUGUUACACAUGAUAUAAAUUAAUUGAUAGAUAAAAACCAUCCUUUUUUAUUUCUUUGUUGCUGAAUACAGUUUUGUUAUUUAAUAUUUUGAUUGACAGUGUCCCUUAAAUUCUCCUUCCAGAAAAUUGAGAAUUAAAAAGUAAAGGCUCCAACACUUUCUGGAAAAGCUUUUCGACUAAAAUGGAGAAAGGAAGCUGCAACUGGGGUGAAGGAAAAAUUUAUCGAAUUCAUUGAUGUCCCAUUCGAGACUUGCUCUUUCUCUGUACCGGCCAACCACCCCCAUGGUAAUGUAGUGAAAGAAAGAGCCAUUUUCUCCCCCUUUUCUAUUUUUUACACUGAAUAUAAGUCAAUGAUAAAUUACAAUGGAAAAGAAGCAGAAGGAAUUCCAAUUCAACAAUCAGUAUCCUAAGUACAAUAACUCCAAAAUAAAGGUAAUAUUUGCAAUUAAUUCAUGAGUAUGAUUGGAAAAUUCACAUGGAACAUCACACAAUCGCAAUUUUUAAAAGUGCCGUGAAACAAACCUUAAUCGACGCAAUCAACGGCUCGGUAUCGAAGUUUGGCAGUGAAUAGGAUGGAUAUGGAACCAGGGAUGUUUGGUUGCUUAUUUUUUUCUUCCUUCUUCUUGGUUCAGAUGUGUGAGUACUUGGGUUCUUCUUCCUUCUCUAUGGUUUCUUCUAUCAUCGUUCUGGUUAUGUUCGACUGUGAUGAGAGAGGGUUUUCUACGUGAGGAAGAGGAGAGGGAGAGAGAGGAAAUACGUGAGGACGUGCGAAGACAUUGGAAAGUUCAAUUCCAUUGAAAAUAAAAUCCUGCUCAAUCCAAAGAAAAUGCUUUCCUUGAUUUCGUGGAAAAUCUGGUCACAUGAUCAAAAAGUAGGAAAAUAUUUUUCACGAAAAAAAUUAUCAAUCAAAUGGCACAAAA
rnacentral:lncRNA from 1 species